CAGUCGCCACGGUAAUACGGAGGGUGCAAGCGUUAAUCGGAAUUACUGGGCGUAAAGCGCACGCAGGCGGUUUGUUAAGUCAGAUGUGAAAUCCCCGAGCUUAACUUGGGAACUGCAUUUGAAACUGGCAAGCUAGAGUCUUGUAGAGGGGGUAGAAUUCCAGGUGUAGCGGUGAAAUGCGUAGAGAUCUGGAGGAAUACCGGUGGCGAAGGCGGCCCCCUGGACAAAGACUGACGCUCAGGUGCGAAAGCGUGGGGAGCAAACAGGAUUAGAUACCCGCGUAGUCCCUGUCUCUUAUACC
rnacentral:rRNA from 1 species